GCCAGACUCCUACGGGAGGCAGCAGUGAGGAAUAUUGGUCAAUGGGCGAGAGCCUGAACCAGCCAAGUCGCGUGAGGGAUGACGGUCCUAUGGAUUGUAAACCUCUUUUGUCAGGGAGCAAAGGGCGCCACGUGUGGCGUUUUGCGAGUACCUGAAGAAAAAGCAUCGGCUAACUCCGUGCCAGCAGCCGCGGUAAUACGGAGGAUGCGAGCGUUAUCCGGAUUUAUUGGGUUUAAAGGGUGCGCAGGCGGAAUGUCAAGUCAGCGGUAAAAUUUCGGGGCUCAACCCCGUCGUGCCGUUGAAACUGGCAGUCUCGAGUUGGAGAGAAGUAUGCGGAAUGCGCGGUGUAGCGGUGAAAUGCAUAGAUAUCGCGCAGAACUCCGAUUGCGAGGGCAGCAUGCCGGCUCCACACUGACGCUGAGGCACGAAAGCGUGGGUAUCGAACAGGAUUAGAUACCCCCGUAA
rnacentral:rRNA from 1 species